rnacentral:lncRNA from 1 species
UAAAGCCUGGUGGUAAUGUUUAUUGAGCAUUUACCAUGUUCUAAACAUCAUGCUAAGCACUUUAUGUAGAUCAUCUCACUUAAUCCUCACUGCAUUAUGAGCUGGUUUCAAGUAUUAGCACCCUCAUCUUACAGUUGGGAAAAACUGAGGUUCAGAUUAGUUCAUUCAUUUGCUCAAAGUCACAUAGCCCAUAUGUGGCAGAACCAGCAUCUGAACUCAGAUCACUGCCUCCAAAAGCUGAGCUCUUAAAACUAUGUCUUAUAUUAUUAAACAUCAAACAUUAUAAAGCGGUGAAACUCUGUUCUUGUCAUCUGUGUGAAAAACAGUUUUGAUCCAAGAUGUGAUAAAAUCAUUCAAUUAGAGAAUCUUUGAAUUGUAAUGGGUCCUGUGGGAUUAUCAAACCCAACCUCCCACUCAAUGGAGGAAUCCCCUUUCAGUCUAUAGGCCGGUGCAUGUAACAAGUGCUUAAUUGUGUUGAACUGGAGAAGACAUUCUGGCAGCUGAUUAUCCAGUUUCUGCAUGAACCUCUCCCAGUGAUGAGGAGUUCAUUGCCUCCCAACGCAGCCUCUUCCAUGUUAAAAAGCUCUGCUUGCCAGAAACUUCUUUCUCUGCUGAAAACGACAUUGAUCUGUAGUUUUCCAUCUUUCUCUCAUUGCUCCUCGUUGCAGGAAAAAAGUUGACAGUUUUACGAUUUGAACAUUUGACUGAAAAGUUUUUUGCUGCCAUUCAGUCACCACAUCCAUCGUUGCCUGCCCUUCCCAACCUCCAGAAGGAAAGGGAAACAAAACAUUAGGGUUGUAUUUUGUUUCCUCAAGUUUGGUUAAGUUAGAGCAAGAUUUGUUCGCUCAAGACGCUUCUUCCUUAUCCUUUUUAACAUUAAAAUGUUGGAAAGGAAUAAAAGCAAAAAAGGAACAGAACAGUAGAAUCUACUUUCCAAUUACAUCAAUAAAUGGGUGCACGGAGCAUGUUGAAUUCGAUAGAAAUGUUUGCUACGCUACUGGGGCAGGGAGGAAGCCUGUGGUUAAAUCUAUCAAUUUUGUUGUUUUUACAAAAGUACCGGAGCCAUCUGUGUGCGACCCAGUCAUUAGCUUGGGGUCCUCUCCCUGCAGAAGGAACAAUUAGAAACACCAUGUGCUGGUUCUCAAAACUUGUGCCCUGCACCUCCACCCAGAAGGCUAGAUUUUCCAUUAGUCCCUUAUUUCUAUCUUAUUGGUAAGGAGCUGCUUCUAAACCUUUCUCUUUUCUCCUGACUGAAGGAGGAGGUUAAAUUCCCCUUAGAUUUAGGAAGGCCCAGGGAACCACCGAGACGGCGAGACCUCCUGGAUUCCUAGAGAACACUGGGGGGAGGGGCUGUGACGCACUUCCGGUAGGUUUUCCAGGACUUGUGUUUGUCUUGAACGUCUGAUUUUCGGCUCGUUGUCUCUCUGCCCGGGCGACCCAGGCCUUCUGAGUUCCCGUCUGCGGGUGGCGGUGGGGACACGAGAUACAUGGUCACUGUCCCUAGCAUCUGGCCCCGGCAGGGUGUAGAGAGAAGCCCCGCACCCUUGGUUCCGUCUGCCCCUGCCCAAACCACCUUUGUGCUUUGACUUAACCUAAAUGAUGGGGUCGAUUAGGAAAGACUGGAGACAAAACAAGACGCUAGCAUCUUUCUGCCCUUGUACAGAAUCAUAGGAAAACCUUACCAGAAAGUGCAGCUCCGGUGGUUUGGAUCCAGGAAGAAAGAACAACCUAGAGAUGUUCCAGAAAAAAAGAAGCUACAAAAAUUAGGGUGGUCGCAGAUUUGAACCUGUCAAAUCACUGAUAGCAGAACUAAGAGAAGCUCGUUAAAAUCAGCAUGAGAUAAGCAUCCAACAUGCCUAGCCAGAGGCAGAAAAUAGAGCCAAAACUGGACAGGUGGACUCUCAGAGUUCACCCUAACAUCAGAGUUAUGGCUGAGAUAACCCUACUAAUUUCAAAGGUCGUGAACCUUCAUAUCAAGGCAAUCUUGUCUUGAUCUCGACAUCUCUGACCCUUGCUCAGUAUUGUUUUCAUUGGCUGCAAUAUAAAGAUGGAAGAUUAGCCCUGAACUAACAUCUGCCACCAAUCCUCCUCUUUUUCCUGAGGAAGACUGGCCCUGAGCAAACAUCCAUGCCCAUCUUCCUCCACCUUAUAUGAGGGACACCUGCCACAGCAUGGCUUGACAAGUGGUGUGCAUGUCCGCACCUGGGAUCCAAACCGGCGAACCACAGGCCACCGAAGCAGAACAUGCAAACUUAACUGCUGUGCAACCAGGCCAGCCCCCAAUCUUUCCUCUGAUAGCCCAAGGCUUACCUGCUAGGAACGCCAGUGAAAAGACAGCACCACUUUCCAGUGACUCAGCAAAAAUUCUGGGCUGACAUCCUUCGGAAUAACAUGAGUCACAUGGUCACCAUUGAACUCAUUACUAUGGCCAGCGCAAUGGAAUAUUC